rnacentral:rRNA from 1 species
UUUAGAGUUUGGAAUCUGGCUCAGAUUGAACGCUGGCGGCAGGCCUAACACAUGCAAGUCGAGCGGAUGAAGGGAGCUUGCUCCUGGAUUCAGCGGCGGACGGGUGAGUAAUGCCUAGGAAUCUGCCUGGUAGUGGGGGAUAACGUCCGGAAACGGGCGCUAAUACCGCAUACGUCCUGAGGGAGAAAGUGGGGGAUCUUCGGACCUCACGCUAUCAGAUGAGCCUAGGUCGGAUUAGCUAGUUGGUGGGGUAAAGGCCUACCAAGGCGACGAUCCGUAACUGGUCUGAGAGGAUGAUCAGUCACACUGGAACUGAGACACGGUCCAGACUCCUACGGGAGGCAGCAGUGGGGAAUAUUGGACAAUGGGCGAAAGCCUGAUCCAGCCAUGCCGCGUGUGUGAAGAAGGUCUUCGGAUUGUAAAGCACUUUAAGUUGGGAGGAAGGGCAGUAAGUUAAUACCUUGCUGUUUUGACGUUACCAACAGAAUAAGCACCGGCUAACUUCGUGCCAGCAGCCGCGGUAAUACGAAGGGUGCAAGCGUUAAUCGGAAUUACUGGGCGUAAAGCGCGCGUAGGUGGUUCAGCAAGUUGGAUGUGAAAUCCCCGGGCUCAACCUGGGAACUGCAUCCAAAACUACUGAGCUAGAGUACGGUAGAGGGUGGUGGAAUUUCCUGUGUAGCGGUGAAAUGCGUAGAUAUAGGAAGGAACACCAGUGGCGAAGGCGACCACCUGGACUGAUACUGACACUGAGGGCGAAAAAGGGCU